UAUUGCAUUGAAGUUUUAUUAAGAGAAAAUAGGCUGAGCAACUAUGCGAUAGGAAUAGUACGUUGUUGUUCAAAGACAUUGUCUGAAGGGAAGUUCGACACAAAGACCAGUCAAGUAUAGUAUAGAAUUUAUACGAACUAGUUCACCACCACAAUAUACCAGAUCAAUUAUGGUAACGCGCCUAGAAGUACAAACGAACUCGCACAUGCCACAGCAAGUCCACUAACUCACAAAAGCUUCCAUUUUACAAGAUUUAAAUCAUACCUUAUGCCGCAAUAAAACGAUCAAAAUAAAUAUAAAGGACAUAUAAUCAUACUUAACCCACUGUUGUUGUUUUUUGUUUGUUUUUUUUUUCAACCAAAACUAAGGAAAGGCUAAAACCCAAUGGUAGGUAAAAGACUUUCGCCAUGGACUUUACUUUGAUCAUUUCUAAGGCGCUCGUUUUUUAGAAUUUAUAAGAAAAACCAUCAAUAAUUACUCAUAUUUAUCCUAGUAUUAUAUGAUUUAUUUUUUCCCCUAAAAUUCUAGCAGAAAAGGAAGCAGAGUUUGCAUUGGUUAACUUAAUCUGAAGACUCUCUAUUGAGCACAUAAGUUAAUACAAUGUUAUUAUAUUAAAUUCUAAAUAAGUAUGCACCAAUAUUAACUUGCUCCCCAAGAAGCUUACAUAUUACCCGCAUGAAAUUUAGGUAAAAUAAAAUAAUAUUUCACUCAUAGAGAACAUUUAUAACAGUCUGUGAUUAAAUAUCAAAUAUAUUUUAGUUUGUUUUGGCCGGCAAUUCAAAGUGACAGACAAUAUGUAUGCUGCUCUUCAAAAAUCUGUAUGUAUAACUAUGGUUAUAUCAAUUCUAUCUAAAAUAAUGGGGAAAAACAAAUUGAUCGAUCGUUUUUUUUUUAAUUCAUCAAAUCAAUUUUAACAUCCCAAAAUAACUUAAAUAGCCAGUAUAAUUAAAGCUCCUCUGAUAAAAACCAACUGGUCCACAUGCAGCUGGAGCAGGGUAGGCAUGAGUUAAAUACAACCAAGUUGGCCAAUGUUUGAGUAACACUUCCGAUUGAAUGAAAGUCCUUUAGAAAGUUUCUAUAUUAUGAUUAUUUUAGUAUUUCCGACAGACCUAGUGCGAAAUUGUAUGGAAAACCGCAUAUUUUAAGAAUUAUUUAUCGCUGUUAAACAGCAGUAAGAAACUAGAAUACCAAGGGGUGUCGAAAACAUUUACUGAUUGUGUCAUAAAAUCAGAUUUGUUAAGAUUUAUACCUAUGCAACGCCGACUUUCUUUAAUUAAUUUAGGUUUCCUUGACAAAUACCUCUAUGUAGCUGACAACUUCCCCAAUUAAGCUAAAUGUGACUUACAUAUCACUAAGUGACUGAUCUUUAAUGGAAACCGUAAAAGAGAACAUUGACCUAGCAAAGAAAUUGAACAUGUCAUCUAUUUUUAUGAUCGUAUUGCGCUAUCCCUAGUCAACGUAUAAGACAGUAUGAAAAAGUGAUACAUUAUUACAUAUAAGGUUGAUUUUCAAUAUUCAUGGAAUAGUUACUGCUAGAAAGUAAUACACAGUUUAAAACUUUGGAUUUACUAUGUAUCGUAGUGAACAUAGUCAUGUUUGUUGGUAUGUGAAUAGACUUGUUACAGUUUGUUAUCAAAAGGUAGAUGUCGAAUCAAGAAAUAAACGUUCAUAAGAAGGAGAGAAAAGGUGACAGGCUACUUAUCUGAAGGUUCUUUGUUUGCAUUUCCAAUGGACUGUCUGUCGAAAGGCAUGUUAGUCAAAAUGUUGAUUGCAGGGCGUUUUCAGAAAUUUGACUGUUUAGUCUUCAAGUUAUCUAUCUGAAUGCCUGCUAGUCCAAAAUAGUCGUCACUAUGAAGGUUUAUUAGCAUAAAAGUCAACAGGUAUGGAUAAACUCCUAAUUGGUCUUUAAAGUUACAAUUGUCUGAUAGUCGAGUGUCAACCUUAAACUCAAGUGUUAUUUUUUAAGAUUUUAGGUUUGGCUAAGGUUUAAUAUUAGUGCAAGUAUACAGGUGUACGGACUAGCAGACUUUCAGGCUAACUGGUUAACGGGUUUCUUCAUUGUAUUUUCGUAGGUGGUAGAAGGCGACUACUGUAAUUCAAUAUUUUAUAGGUAUGGGCUUAACUGCCGUUUGUACAACAUAUAAGUAUUUAAAGCAGAAAAUUAAUCCAGUUGCGAUGACUAUGGGACCUUCGUAUUAUAAGCCGACAAAUACAAGGUACAUUGCAUUUUUUUACAGAGUACGUCUGCUUUAAAUUGUCCAGCUGACAGUGAGAACUACGCACACUCCCACUAUCCUAUCCUUAACCCCAAAUUUAUCAUCCUGAAUAUACCAUUCAGACAUUUGUCGUAGGGCAAAUUAUCUCGAUUUGUAUAUUUACUUUUAAUUUUACAAUAAAGUAUACGAUAAAACAUAAUUAGUGGAACAGUCCUGCAGUUUUCAAUUCUAUAACUAUUCGUUUUAUUUAGAUACACAAAUGAUCCAAGGGAAAUGAUUAACAAAACAGCCAGCCCCAUAACCUCCGAAAACCCUCCAAUACUCCUUUCGUACCUGUAUCCAAUAUAAUAUAUUUGUCUCGUUAUAGUACGCUAUUACCUUACCAACCUGUGAUCCGUAGCCUUUAUGAUGAAUGCAAUGCUGCACUGCAUUCGCCUUCGCUAAAUUGUAGUGACCACUACGUUGUUUGCCAUUAUUACUUUUGAAGAAAAUAGAUAAUAUAUACAUAUCUUGGAUAUUGUUUUCAGUUUGUAGCGUCCCGUCAGUACAAAAAUGACCCACGUCCACGACAACUAUAAAUGUGUUGCCAUAUCAUAAGGUGGAGGUCAUAGCCACCAAUGAGGGCGUAAGGGCAGAUAUUAGCUCUACUGGCCGGAAGCAGGCCGUGGCACAGUUUUGAGGAUUUCCAGCAGGUGUUGACUUGCAAACACCGCACUGUAUAAUCUUAUUUUCUUUUCCCUUCUUUAAAACUACUUUGUAUGACUUGGCAUGUUAAGGUUGUUUACUAAAAGCGUCUAUUUUCAUUACUUUCGCACAUUUAACGUCAUCGGGUAGUGUACGUAGUAAAGCUUGAACCUGUUUAUAUACGAGAAUUUCCAACUCACAGUUUUUUGUUUCAUUUCUGAGCAAUAGAUGUGUUAUGUAUAUGUCAUAUUCCCCUUAGGCAAAUUAUUGUUUACUGAUCUAGUUUUAAGAUACCACGUUAAUUUUAAUCCAGAAUAUUCUAUUGUGUUCUGUAACAAUACUGGUAUACAGUGUAUGAAAGUUAUUUCUAAAAAAGCUUGUCCUUGAUUUGUCCAGAAUACCCUUUUCAUUCUUAGCAUUACUUGAAAAUUCUGGAACCUUCCAUGAUACAAUAAAUAGUGAGAUAAUUUAGGAUUAUGAUAGAACCUAGAUUGUAGAUAUUGGUGAAACUUUCCUGUUCUUCUUUAUAACAAAUAUUACCAGUUUGGAUAUUUAAUAUUUUGAAGGAUUAUUUGAAGGAUUAACUAAAAUUUGUGGAUUUAAUAUUUCAUCUUUGAAGAGAGAAAUUUUAAGUUUUGGAUAUACUAAAGUUACUUUUGAAUUGUGCGGAACAUUAUGGAAUUUAUUCUGAUUGUAUUUGAAUUUAACCUGGACAGGAUUUGGACUAUUUUACAUAAUACUGGAUCUUACGGCUCUUUGAUAUUUUGAGAAAAAAUCACGCAGCAGAUAUCUCACUUUUGGCGACUCUUAUCAACUCUGGGCAGAUAGAAAUAUUACUUUAUUAAUACGUUCAAAGCAUGAUGACAAGGGAGAAAGUAUUCACAAGUCUGGUAUCAGUUCACACGACCGUGUUCCAAACAUUAUUAUACAAUAUGGAGUCGGAGGAACUGCCACAACGUUACAGUUUCAGAUUUUAUGUGUGCUUAUGGCCAUUCUUCAUGAAUCUGAAAUAAACUCCUUAGGCUGUUUCUAUGGAAGAAAACCAUUUUAUAAGUAUACUGUUAUUAAAACACAUGAAAUUAAAUACAAUGAACUGCGUCUUUUGCCAUUAGAUACUUGGGUUUUCAUGACUUCAAGUAAAAAUCUGUCUGCCGAAAAGCAACUGAAGUUUGAUUAUAAUAAGCGUAAAGUUCAAAUGAUGAAGAUGCAUUGUCCAUACAUUGCAGACAUAGAAACUGUUUCGAAACGUGGCCAUUUCAUUGUCCAUGAAUACCGCUCAAUUUUUGGAGUUUCUGACGAACAGAUACAACAGGCAGUGGAAUACUUACGCUAUUGGGACAUACUUCGUUUGUGUUGUGGAAAACAAAUGUCGGCAGAUUGGCGUAAUUAUUUAUCGCCGAUCAAAAACUAUAAGCCACAUCAUAGUCUGCAUAGUUCAACAUAUCCUGCUUGCGAAAUGUAUAAUAUAAGUAAAGUUGAACAACUUCUGAUGAACACGUAUGUAUUUCAGCGUUUUGCACAUAUACCGUCUGUUCGUGACGUAAUAGGGAAGCCAUCAAAUGUUGACGGUAACAUCGAUGGUCAGUAUUGUGAGCAAUGUAAUAGAAAUAUUUCGAAAAACCAUUUACGUUUUAAUGAUAAAUGUGUAUAAUACU